GAUGAACGCUGGCGGCGUGCUUAACACAUGCAAGUCGAACGAUGGAGCCCAGCUUGCUGGGUGGAUUAGUGGCGAACGGGUGAGUAACACGUGAGUAACCUGCCCUUAACUCUGGGAUAAGCCUGGGAAACUGGGUCUAAUACCGGAUAGGAGCGCCUACCGCAUGGUGGGUGUUGGAAAGAUUUAUCGGUUUUGGAUGGACUCGCGGCCUAUCAGCUUGUUGGUGAGGUAAUGGCUCACCAAGGCGACGACGGGUAGCCGGCCUGAGAGGGUGACCGGCCACACUGGGACUGAGACACGGCCCAGACUCCUACGGGAGGCAGCAGUGGGGAAUAUUGCACAAUGGGCGAAAGCCUGAUGCAGCGACGCCGCGUGAGGGAUGACGGCCUUCGGGUUGUAAACCUCUUUCAGUAGGGAAGAAGCGAAAGUGACGGUACCUGCAGAAGAAGCACCGGCUAACUACGUG
rnacentral:rRNA from 1 species